rnacentral:misc_RNA from 1 species
GAUGAAGAACGCAGCGAAAUGCGAUACGUAAUGUGAAUUGCAGGAUUCAGUGAAUCAUCGAGUCUUUGAACGCACAUUGCGCCCUCUGGUAUUCCGGAGGGCAUGCCUGUCCGAGCGUCAUUGCUGCCCUCAAGCACGGCUUGUGUGUUGGGCCCCGCCCCCCGAUCCCGGGGGGCGGGCCCGAAAGGCAGCGGCGGCACCGCGUCCGGUCCUCGAGCGUAUGGGGCUUUGUCACCCGCUCUGUAGGCCCGGCCGGCGCCUGCCGAUCAACCAAACUUUUUUCCAGGUUGACCUCGGAUCAGGUAGGGAUACCCGCUGAACUUAAGCAUAUCAAUAAGCGGAGGA